rnacentral:rRNA from 1 species
CAGGCCUAACACAUGCAAGUCGAAGGAGAAGCUAUCUUCGGAUAGUGGAGACUGGCAGACGGGUGAGUAACACGUGGGAACAUACCAAGUAGUAUGGAAUAACAGUUGGAAACGACUGCUAAUACCGUAUACGCCCUUCGGGGGAAAGAUUUAUCGCUAUUUGAUUGGCCCGCGUUAGAUUAGCUAGUAGGUGAGGUAACGGCUCACCUAGGCGACGAUCUAUAGCUGGUUUGAGAGGAUGAUCAGCCACACUGGGACUGAGACACGGCCCAGACUCCUACGGGAGGCAGCAGUGGGGAAUAUUGCGCAAUGGAGGAAACUCUGACGCAGCCAUGCCGCGUGAGUGAAGAAGGCCCUAGGGUUGUAAAGCUCUUUCAGACGCGAUGAUGAUGACAGUAACGUCAAAAGAAGUUCCGGCUAACUUCGUGCCAGCAGCCGCGGUAAUACGAAGGGAACUAGCGUUGUUCGGAUUUACUGGGCGUAAAGAGCACGUAGGCGGAUUGGAUAGUUGGAGGUGAAAUCCCGGAGCUCAACUCCGGAACUGCCUUCAAUACUUCCAGUCUAGAGUCCGUAAGGGGGUGGUGGAAUUCCGAGUGUAGAGGUGAAAUUCGUAGAUAUUCGGAGGAACACCAGUGGCGAAGGCGACCAC